CUGCUCUUAAAAAAAAACAAAAAACAACAAACAAAAAACCCUUAACUCCCAAAGUUAUCUUCUUUCUCUUAAGUUAUAGCGACCAUCGUUUACAAGAACAGAAUGCAGUUAUAAGGAAGUUCUAUCUAGAGAAGAGCACCCAUAAAAUCUCAUGGAUGCAAGCAGCGGGCAUUUCCUGCUUGGGAAAAGUGCCGUGUCCAAGACCCAGUCAGGAACAUAUAUUCAAUUACCAUUAACGACCAGAGCAUCCAUGGACUCAGAUGCUGCCGCCACAUACAACUCAAGUGCUGGAAUAUUUUUCUACAGUCUCCGUUCUCCCCAUUCUCUUGUAAACCAGUGUUCAACUAGUUUUAUAACUGAAAAGCUGCACAUUUUUCAUAGUACAAACCAUAGUUUUUACCUGUAGUUUGGACCUGUUAAAAUGUAGCUGCGUUACCAGCCCUUUUAAAAGACAUCUGUUAAAGGAAAAUUCGGGUGUUAGAUUUUUUGGGACCGUUUCUGUAACUUCUGCCCUUAACAAUAUAGAAAAUACUGUUUAUGCCGUUACAUUUUAAUUCCAGGUUUAAAACCUGUUGAAAGCUGUAGCUUGAAAUCAGCUUUGUUUGUGAUGGCAUUUAAAAAAUAGCAUGUUCUUUUUAAACUGAAUUUUAUAUCUAAUCAAUGUCUUCAGUCUUGAAGAAGAAUUUGCAUUGUUGUGUUUGUAUAUAGAGUAUUGCAGUGCAUGAAUUAGCUUUAUGCAUUUUAUUAAAUGCUGUUUCAAUGUGGCAUUAUCGUUGUGGCUUAAUACUACUACCUAAAUGAGGUUUAUACUAUUAAAAAAAUGAAUUAAAGACUAAAUGUGCAUCUUCUCAUUUCUUCUAAUAGUGAUAGCAGUAAUGCCUGAUCCCCAGGGGCGCCGUGCGUGCUGUCUUACCCCAAGCAGGUGGUGAGGAAGCAGCUUGUGGUCGGAGCCCUACUGCUUUCACCUCCCCUUAGUCUCAGCUAGAAUCCACGUGCUGGCCCACUGGACUUGUAAACACCUUUAGCGGGAAAGGUGUGGCCUUUUCCAUUGGGGCCGGUCCUCGGUGUGAAGGUCAAAAAGCCAGGCAGCUGGUUCCGGAGCAGAGCACCUGUGGGCUGCCAGACCACACAGGCUGUCGGCACAGAUGCGCCAGAGCCAGGCUGCAAACCAGCACAUGCUUCCCAUAAGGGUAAUGACUAUCCAGAAUAAAAGCGUGUUCUUCUAGUUGUAGAAGCUGGAAAGAACUUGCUCAGUAUGUCACGUGACUUCUCAUUUUACUGGUGAGGAUUCUGAGGUCCAAAGUCAGAUUCCUGGCAGAACCCCCCCACCCCCCACCAACCAGACAGCUUUAAAGAUUUUUUUUUUUAUUCAUUUGAGACACAGAGAGAGACAGAGAGCGAGCGAGAGAGCAUGAGCAAGGAGAGAGGCAGAGGGAAAAGCAGGCUUCCUGCUGAGCCAGGAGCCCAAUGUGGGGCUCAAUCCCAGGACCCUGGGAUCAUGACCUGAGCCAAAGGCAGAUGCUUAACCAUCUGAGCCACCCAGGUGCCCCAACCAGCUUUAAAUGGCCCUGCCAGGUCGUACUCAAAAUGAAAUCAGUCACUUCAGAAGAACAAGGUCUAAAACCAUGUGAACAUCGUUGGUGCGAAGAAAAAAACAUAACUCCUCGUAGCGAUUUUUUCCUCCCGUUUCCGUAAAUUUUAAACCCACCUUUUAUCAUUACUAAAUCUCGGCAGAAAUAGAAGACAAAGGUUUAAAGAGAGAACCGUGCCCCCUAGUGGUGCUUAUUUCAAGUCUCUGUAAAGAGAGGGGCGGCACUGUCCCAUCAGGCACUAGAUGCUUCUCUCCAAGGAGGGCUCGCUAUCCUGUUUCCAGGUCAGCAACCUUUCUGGGGCCCCCCGUUGGGCUGUGGAUGGAAGGGGUACUUCUUCCCUAACGCUGGCGCACUUGCUGUGCACACAGACCAAAGGGAACAGGCUCUGAAAAGCCCCAGCGGCUGGCGGGAAAACCACAGCUGUGGUCACCUGGGAGCGGUUAUUAGAAACAAGACAGAAGGAUUAGAAUGGAGGACAGAUUUCUCUACUCAUCCUCUAAAAUGGUAAAGGGGGGCGGGGUGCCCUGUGGUGCGGACCUGCAAUUAGACGCACAGCCCUGGUGAGUCUGCAGCCAUCCCGCACACGCACGCAUGCACGUGCCCACCAGCCAUGACCCCUGACCACCACUCAGGUACAAAAUCACAGUAAACCACAACCUGAGCAUCAAAUGUAAAAGAAGCCAAAUCCUUCCAAUGUAAUGGGCUAUAAAACAUUCUGGUUCCACAACCUUUCCCAUAGCAGUCUACCUCCUGACCUCCCCCUGCUCCUUUCAGCCCCGUUGGCCGGCUGCUUCCCACAGGGCAGAGUCUCAUCCUUCACUCUGACCAGCUAAACCGUAAGGUAGCCAACCCUUGAAGGCUCUGGUGUUGCCUGAGGGCUGAAACCAGCAAGUGACCGCAGGAUCCAUGCCCUGUGAGGAAAGAACUAGGCGGACCCUCCGUAAGCCCUCACCUCCUCUUCCAAA
ensembl:lncRNA